UUUAGAUGAACGAUGUCCUGUCUCCCUCCUGCAGCUGUACCACAUGGCGUCCCAGUCCAAGAGCCUCAGCGGCCACAAAGUCCAGUUUGUUCCCUUCCCGUCGUCUCUGGCCUACAAACACAAGUUCAUCUACAGGAGCCCGGAGCUGCCCAACAUCCUCAGUGAUUUCCUCGGCACCGCUCACCAACAGACGGACGAUUCAGCCUGAAUACACACACACACACACACACACACACACACACACACACACACACACACACACACACACACACACACACACACAUAC